GCAGGACACACACAUCUUCAACAUUUCUAGAGUCUGGACGUCUGAGAUCAGGGUGCCAGCACUGUCGAGGUCACAGACUGCAGACCUCCUUGUAUCUUCAAAUGGAGGAAAGAGGACAAGAGAGCUCCUGUGGUCCCUUUUAUCAAGAUGAAUGCACAAGGAAAAUGUUGUACAUUUGCACAUUGGAGUACACUUCAGCCAUAAAAAGAAUGAGAUGCUGUCAUUUGCAACAACAGUUGAAGCCUAGUCAAGAAGAGGGCUCAGAGAAGCUUGACUAAAGUUUCAUGAAGAGAGUCUCUGUCAGUGGUGGGUCUUUGAUUCUCAAGGAAGCUGUCAGAAGCUUCAUCUAACUUCUCUUCCACUCUACUUUCUUCUGGGGAAGAAGUGACCCAACAAUUUGAUCUAAUAUUUGCCUGAUAAUAUUGAACAUCCUUGCAUCCAUUAAAGUUUACUGUUCUAAGACUUACUUUAACCAAGGUCAACAGCAAUCUGAGACACACUCUUCUCAUGGCAGAUUAUGGGACCAUAAAGCAGGAAUAAGAACCACAGCGUGAUAUUCU
rnacentral:lncRNA from 1 species